rnacentral:rRNA from 1 species
CCUACGGGAGACAGCAGUGGGGGAUAUUGCACAAUGGGGGAAACCCUGAUGCAGCGACGCCGCGUGUGGGAAGACGGUCCUCUGGAUUGUAAACCACUGUCCCCAGGGACGAAGAUGACGGUACCCGGGGAGGAAGCUCCGGCUAACUACGUGCCAGCAGCCGCGGUAAUACGGAGGGAGCGAGCGUUGUCCGGAGUUACUGGGUGUAAAGGGAGCGUAGGCGGGGCUGAAAGUUGGGUGUAAAAACUACCGGCUCAACUGGUAGUCGCACUCAAAACUGCAGCUCUUGAGUGAAGUAGAGGCAGGCGGAAUGCCUAGUGUAGCGGUGAAAUGCGUAGAUAUUAGGAGGAACACCGGUGGCGAAGGCGGCCUGCUGGGCUUUAACUGACGCUGAGGCUCGAAAGUGUGGGGAGCAAACAGGAUUAGAUACCCGGGUAGUC